rnacentral:rRNA from 1 species
GAUCAUGGCUCAGAUUGAACGCUGGCGGCAUGCCUUACACAUGCAAGUCGAACGGUAACAGGUCUUCGGAUGCUGACGAGUGGCGAACGGGUGAGUAAUACAUCGGAACGUGCCCGAUCGUGGGGGAUAACGAAGCGAAAGCUUUGCUAAUACCGCAUACGAUCUACGGAUGAAAGCAGGGGACCGCAAGGCCUUGCGCGAACGGAGCGGCCGAUGGCAGAUUAGGUAGUUGGUGGGAUAAAAGCUUACCAAGCCGACGAUCUGUAGCUGGUCUGAGAGGACGACCAGCCACACUGGAACUGAGACACGGUCCAGACUCCUACGGGAGGCAGCAGUGGGGAAUUUUGGACAAUGGACGCAAGUCUGAUCCAGCCAUUCCGCGUGCAGGAUGAAGGCCCUCGGGUUGUAAACUGCUUUUGUACGGAACGAAAAGGUUUCCAUUAAUACUGGGAGCUCAUGACGGUACCGUAAGAAUAAGCACCGGCUAACUACGUG